rnacentral:rRNA from 1 species
CCUACGGGUGGCAGCAGUGAGGAAUAUUGGGCAAUGGGCGCGAGCCUGAACCAGCGAAGUAGCGUGAAGGAUGAAUGCCCUACGGGUUGUAAACUUUUUUGAUAAAGGAAUAAAGUGAGGCACGUGGGCCUUUAUGUAUGGACUUUAUGAAUAAGGAGCGGCUAACUCCGUGUCAGCAGCCGCGGUAAUACGGAGGAUCCAAGCGUUAACCGGAUUUAUUGGGUUUAAAGGGAGCAUAGAUGGGUAGUUAAGUCAGUUGUGAAGGUUUGCGGCUUAACCGUAGAAGUGCAAUUGAUACUGGCUGCCUUGAGUACAGUUGAGGUAAGCGGAAUUCGUGGUGUAGCGGUGAAAUGCUUAGAUAUCACGAAGAACUCCGAUUGCGAAGGCAGCCUACUAAACUGCCACUGACAUUGAUGCUCGAAAGUGUGGGUAUCAAACAGGAUUAGAUACCCGAGUAGUC